rnacentral:rRNA from 1 species
CACGUAGGGGGCAAGCGUUGUCCGGAAUCAUUGGGCGUAAAGAGCUCGUAGGCGGCUCAGUAAGUCGGGUGUGAAACCCCCAGGCUCAACCUGGGGACGCCACCCGAUACUGCUGUGGCUAGAGUCCAGUAGAGGAGUGUGGAAUUCCCGGUGUAGCGGUGAAAUGCGCAGAUAUCGGGAGGAGCACCAGCGGCGAAGGCGGCACUCUGGGCUGGUACUGACGCUGAGGAGCGAAAGCGUGGGUAGCAAACAGG